UGGGGAAUAUUGGACAAUGGGCGCAAGCCUGAUCCAGCCAUGCCGCGUGAGUGAAGAAGGCCUUCGGGUUGUAAAGCUCUUUUGUCAGGGAAGAAACGGUAGUAGCGAAUAACUAUUACUAAUGACGGUACCUGAAGAAUAAGCACCGGCUAACUACGUGCCAGCAGCCGCGGUAAUACGUAGGGUGCAAGCGUUAAUCGGAAUUACUGGGCGUAAAGCGUGCGCAGGCGGUUGUGUAAGUCAGAUGUGAAAUCCCCGGGCUCAACCUGGGAAUUGCAUUUGAGACUGCACGGCUAGAGUGUGUCAGAGGGGGGUAGAAUUCCACGUGUAGCAGUGAAAUGCGUAGAUAUGUGGAGGAAUACCGAUGGCGAAGGCAGCCCCCUGGGAUAACACUGACGCUCAUGCACGAAAGCGUGGGGAGCAAACAGGAUUAGAUACCCGUGUAGUCCCUGAGCGGGCUGGCAAGGCGCAU
rnacentral:rRNA from 1 species